UACGUAGGGGGCAAGCGUUGUCCGGAUUUAUUGGGCGUAAAGGGCGUGUAGGCGGCCAGACAGGUCCGUUGUGAAAACUCGAGGCUCAACCUCGAGAUGUCGAUGGAAACCGUCUGGCUAGAGUCCGGAAGAGGAGUGUGGAAUUCCUGGUGUAGCGGUGAAAUGCGCAGAUAUCAGGAAGAACACCUAUGGCGAAGGCAGCACUCUGGGACGGUACUGACGCUGAGACGCGAAAGCGUGGGGAGCGAACAGG
rnacentral:rRNA from 1 species